GAGUGCGGGAGAGUACAGAAUGUGAACACGUGGAAUAAAGUCUUGUAUUGUAAGCCACUGUACUGGGCGCUCUGUCGGACAUGAGAACCACUGCUCGGAGAGGAAGUGGCCAGGAAUCUGAGAAGACCUGUGAUUGGAAGCAUCUUUCCAACAGUAACCAUGAGGAAACUCAACAUUGUUGGAGUGCCUUUAACUUUCACAGAUGAAUGUUGAAAACAUGAAGUAACAAAAGAAACUGUAUCAAAUCAAUGAAUGCUUAAGUGAGAGAGAGGCCAAUUCUACCUAACCUUUUUGGCCCACUGAGCAUGGGAUACUUGCCGACAACUUUGAUUUUCUUCAUCCUAUUGGUAAAGAAGAAAAAGGAAAACAACUUGGCAAAGAUAUCCUUGUUUUGGGUAUUGUUUUAGGAAAGAAAGUUAUAACUAAAGAAGUCAAGGGGCAAAUGUCUUCUAGUUUUCUUUUGUGCAUCAAUAACUCAUAUUUGUAGAGUAGUUUUUUUAACAUUCAUUAUAAUAUUCCAAUGGAAUGUAAUCCCUUUGGGAAUAGG